rnacentral:tRNA from 1 species
GAGGGUACAGCUCAAGUGGUAGAGUGCAUGCUUAGCAUGCAUGAGGUCCUGGGUUCAAUUCCCAGUACCUCCA